rnacentral:rRNA from 1 species
UACGUAGGGCGCAAGCGUUGUCCGGAAUUAUUGGGCGUAAAGAGCUCGUAGGUGGCUUGUCGCGUCUGCCGUGAAAGCCCGUGGCUUAACUACGGGUCUGCGGUGGAUACGGGCAGGCUAGAGGCUGGUAGGGGCAAGCGGAAUUCCUGGUGUAGCGGUGAAAUGCGCAGAUAUCAGGAGGAACACCGGUGGCGAAGGCGGAUCUCUGGGCCAUUACUGACGCUGAGGAGCGAAAGCGUGGGGAGCGAACAGG